CAGUGCUGGCCUUCAGGAGGUGCCCUUGGUGACAAAUGAAUGCCCAGAACUCCUGGCUGGAGCAGCGUGAGGUUUUGGUGCUUGCCCAACCUCAAAUACCAGAAGAAAGUCUCUGGUUGGUGUGGCCUUGGCUGUCAGAAUGUGGGGGUUUGUUGGCAAUAAUUCCUGUUCCAAGCCAAAAAAAGCACUCACGGAAGGAGGAAUCUGCACCCUGAACAUCUCCAGAGAGCCACCGGCACCAGGGCCAGCGCUGGCGUGUGAAGCACCAUCCUCAGCAUCUGAAGAGGGCACAGGGACACUCUCACUGUUAAUAAAGGGUUCUUUGGAAACCUCUCCA